AAUGCUUCCGGUAUCUGCAGCCCCGCUGGGGUUUGGACAGGGGGUCUGGGAUAGGGCUUCGAAACUACAGCAGGGCUAGGACCCUCUUGGGCUGGAAGGAGCUAGAGAGGCCCCUGCAAGCUGUCACAGGCUCUUGGUGCUGGCACUGGCUCAGGCUUACACACACACACACACACACACACACACACACACGCGCGCGCGCGUGCGGACAGCCACCCCCUUGGUGGCCUUCACAGUUUCACCUUCAGGUAAAUGGGCUCAUCCUUUGGGCCAUGAGGAUGGGAAGCGAAGCAAGGAAUGAAAAAGCUAGUGUGUGUGUGUGUGUGUGUGUGUGCGUGCGCGUGUGCCUGUGUGUGCCUGGGAGUGACCUCACAGCUGCCGGAACAUAAAGACUCACAGGUCCGCCUCCCAGGCUCAAAGCUGGCUCUGCAGGGGACAUGAGAGGCACACUGAAGACCCACCUCCUGGCCUUCUCCCUCCUCUGCCUCCUCUCAAAGGUGUGUACCCAGCUGUGCCCGACACCAUGUACCUGCCCCUGGCCACCUCCCCGAUGCCCACUGGGAGUACCCCUGGUGCUGGACGGCUGUGGCUGCUGCCGGGUAUGUGCACGGCGGCUGGGGGAGCCCUGCGACCAACUCCAUGUCUGCGACGCCGGCCAGGGCCUGGUCUGCCAGCCCGGGGCAGGACCCGGUGGCCGGGGGGCCCAGUGUCUCUGUAAGCAGGUUUGCAGGACUGAGGAGGGGUGGGGUGUGAGCGGGAGGUCAAGGCGGUGGUGUCUUGGAUCAAAGUGCAGCCCUCCUCUCUCUACCUCCUUGGAUGCUCACUUCAGGUACCCCGUCCAUUCCAGCUGAACUUGGUGGCCCAAAGCCCACUCCCCACUCCCUCCUCUCCCUCGUUGGCCUCUGCUUAAACAAUCCCACUACCCCAAUAACCUUUCCCCAUCCCUACCUGUCCAAAUCAUCAUUGCCAACUUUCAAAGCCAAGUUCAAACAGCUUCUCCCCGGAGAAGCCCUCCCAGAUUCUUCAAACCAGAUGCCACCAUUCCCUUCUCAGGAUCCUUACAACACUUUGGGGAAAAUAAAAGUGCAACCUCUUAUUUAGGGCAUAAUAUGUGUCCAGAACUGUGCUAAGCACUUACUACACAAGUCACAUCACCCUCACAAUAACCCUAUAAUGGGAAGUACUUUCAGACCUAUUUUAUGAAUGAGGAAACUGAGGUUCACCAGCAUUAAGGGACAUGCUUCAUGUCACAUGGCGUGGGACCAGAUCCAACAGGCUCUAAGGAACAUUUCAUUCUGUCUUCUCCCAUAGUGGGGGCCCUCGGAGCACUGCUGGGAUCCUGGUUUUGCCAUGUAUUCAGCAGUCACCCGAGCAUGUGACAUUCCUCACCACUCUUCUAGGCCUUGGUAUCCUCUGAUGCUUUGGGCGGGGCUUUUCAAGCUGGCUCCAGUGACUUGGUGCCAGAGAAUUCGUUGUUUUGGGAGGGCUGUCCUGUGCAUGGUAAGACUUCUAGCAGCAUCCCUGAACUCCACCCACUGUAUGCCAGGAGCACUCCCCAUCCCCCAAGUUGUGACAGUCUGUCUUCAGAUGGUGCCAAAUUUCCCCAGGGGGCAAAAUCUCCAGUUGGGAACCAUCACUUUAGAGAAAUUCAAAGAGGCAAGAGAUUGUUCUUCUUUUUUCUUUUUUAAUAAUAAGCCUUGUAGAACAUUUUACCUCUUUCAUCUAUGUGCAUGUCACACUUUUAUAAAAAUAAGAAUGAAAGAGAGAGAGAGAGAAUCUCAUGAAUCAUUGACAAUGAAUUCAUCUGUAGGAAAAGCCUUGUUAAAAAACAACAGGCCAGGCAUAGUGGCUCAUGCCUAUAAUCCUAUCACUUUGGGAGACUGAGGCGGGACGACCACUUGAGCCCAGGAGUUCUAGUGCAGCCUUGGCAACAUAGUAAGAUCCUUUCUCUAUCAAAAAAAAAAAAAAAAAAAAUUAGCCGGGUGUGGUGGCACAUGCCUGUGGUCCCAGCUACUUGAGAGGCUGAGGUGAGAGGCUCGCUUGAGCCUGGGUGUUUGAGGCUGCAGUGAGCUGUGAUUGCGCCACUACAUUCCAGCCUAGGCGACAGACCAAACCCUAUCUCA
rnacentral:sRNA from 1 species